GGAUUUCAAAAACUUAUACAAAUAUGGGGUUGAAUGAAUAUGAUAGAGGAGAUAAAGGAAAUCCGAAGAUUCUAUGGAUCGUAGCUUCAGUUAUUGAGAGGUCAGUUCAAAAGAAUGAGAAGGGAUUGAAGGGAUCGAAUAAGAGAGGUGCUGUUACUGUCUUCCAUGGUACAAGAGCCCCUGUUUUGACCGUUCAGCAGUACAUUGAGCGCAUUUUUAAGUACUCCAACUGCAGUCCUUCGUGUUUCGUGGUUGCGUAUAUAUAUUUGGAGAGAUUUCUCAAUCUGACUGAUUGUUUACUCACCUCUCUUAAUGUUCACCGGCUUCUCAUCACUAGCAUCAUGUUGGCUGUCAAGUUUGUAGAUGAUGACUGCUACAACAAUGCUUAUUAUGCAAAAGUAGGAGGAAUAACGACAAGAGAACUGAACAAGCUUGAGGUAAAAUUCUUGGCAGCUCUUGAUUUCCGACUGCACGUAAGUGUUGAGAGCUUUGAUAAGUACUGCUUGCAGCUAGAGAAAGAUAGCAAUGAGA
rnacentral:misc_RNA from 1 species